GACGAACGCUGGCGGCGUGCUUAACACAUGCAAGUCGAACGGUGAAGGGACCGGUUUUUGCUGGUUCUGGAUGAGUGGCGAACGGGUGAGUAACACGUGAGUAACCUGCCCCCUUCUUCUGGAUAACCGCAUGAAAGUGUAGCUAAUACGGGAUAUUCUGCGCCUGCUGCAUGGUGGGUGUGGGAAAGAUAUUGUUUCGGUGGGGGAUGGGCUCGCGGCCUAUCAGCUUGUUGGUGGGGUGAUGGCCUACCAAGGCGGUGACGGGUAGCCGGCCUGAGAGGGUGGACGGUCACACUGGGACGGAGACACGGCCCAGACUCCUACGGGAGGCAGCAGUGGGGAAUAUUGCACAAUGGGCGCAAGCCUGAUGCAGCGACGCCGCGUGAGGGAUGGAGGCCUUCGGGUUGUAAACCUCUUUCGCCAGUGAAGCAGGCCUGUCCCUUGUGUGGGUGGGUUGACGGUAGCUGGAUAAGAAGCGCCGGCUAACUACGUG
rnacentral:rRNA from 1 species